rnacentral:rRNA from 1 species
UACGUAGGGGGCAAGCGUUGUCCGGAUUUAUUGGGCGUAAAGAGCGUGUAGGCGGUUCGGUAGGUCCGUUGUGAAAACUCGAGGCUCAACCUCGAGACGCCGAUGGAAACCCCCGAACUAGAGUCCGGAAGAGGAGAAUGGAAUUCCUGGUGUAGCGGUGAAAUGCGCAGAUAUCAGGAAGAACACCCGUGGCUAAGGCGGUUCGCUAGUACGGUACUGACGCUGAGACGCGAAAGCGUGGGGAGCGAACAGG